AGCCCGAUGGUGUAGUGGCCAAUCAUAUAGGGCUCUGGACCCUUUGACCUCGGUUCGAAUCCGAGUCGGGCUA
rnacentral:tRNA from 1 species